rnacentral:rRNA from 1 species
GAUGAACGCUGGCGGCGUGCUUAACACAUGCAAGUCGAACGGUGAACCCGGAGCUUGCUCUGUUGGAUCAGUGGCGAACGGGUGAGUAACACGUGAGCAACCUGCCCCUGACUCUGGGAUAAGCGCUGGAAACGGCGUCUAAUACUGGAUAUGUGACGUGACCGCAUGGUCUGCGUUUGGAAAGAUGUUUCGGUUUGGGCUGGUCGGGCGGCUUAUCAGCUUGUUGGUGAGGUAAUGGCGCACCAAGGCGUCGACGGAUAGCCGGCAUGAGAGGGUGACCGGCCACAAUGGGACUGAGACACGGAGCAGAGUGCUACGGGAGACAGCAGUGGGGAAUAUGGUACAAUGGGCGCAAGCCUGAGGCAGAGACGCUGCGUGAGGGAUGCCGGCUUUCUGGUUGUAAACAGCUUUUAGCUGGGAAGAAGCGAUAGUGACGGUACCUGCAGAAAAAGCGCCGGCUAACUACGUG